GACGAACGCUGGCGGCGUGCUUAACACAUGCAAGUCGAACGCUGAAGCUCAGCUUUUGUUGGGUGGAUGAGUGGCGAACGGGUGAGUAACACGUGAGUAACCCGCCCCCUUCUUUGGGAUAACGCCCGGAAACGGGUGCUAAUACUGGAUAUUCACUGGUCUUCGCAUGGGGGUUGGUGGAAAGGGUUUUUCUGGUGGGGGAUGGGCUCGCGGCCUAUCAGCUUGUUGGUGGGGUGAUGGCCUACCAAGGCUUUGACGGGUAGCCGGCCUGAGAGGGUGACCGGUCACAUUGGGACUGAGAUACGGCCCAGACUCCUACGGGAGGCAGCAGUGGGGAAUAUUGCACAAUGGGCGCAAGCCUGAUGCAGCGACGCCGCGUGAGGGAUGGAGGCCUUCGGGUUGUGAACCUCUUUCGCUCAUGGUCAAGCCGCAACAAUGGUUGUGGUGAGGGUAGUGGGUAAAGAAGCGCCGGCUAACUACGUG
rnacentral:rRNA from 1 species